GACGAACGCUGGCGGCGUGCUUAACACAUGCAAGUCGAACGGAAAGGCCUGCUUUCCCUUGUGGAUUGCGGGUACUCGAGUGGCGAACGGGUGGGUAACACGUGAGUGAUCUGCCCCCAACUUGGGUAUAAGCCUGGGAAACUGGGUCUAAUUCCCGAUAGGACUGCAGGGUGGUGCCUGUGGUGGAAAACGAUUUUCUAGUGGUUGGGGUUGAGCUCGCGGCCUAUCAGCUUGUUGGUGGGGUAAUGGCCUACCAAGGCGGCGACGGGUAGCCGGCCUGAGAGGGUGGACGGCCACAUUGGGACUGAGAUACGGCCCAGACUCCUACGGGAGGCAGCAGUGGGGAAUAUUGCACAAUGGGCGGAAGCCUGAUGCAGCGACGCCGCGUGGGGGAUGACGGCCUUCGGGUUGUAAACUCCUUUCGACCGCGAGGAAGCCACCUGGUUGGAAGGGUGGUGACGGUAGUGGUAGAAGAAGCACCGGCUAACUACGUG
rnacentral:rRNA from 1 species